rnacentral:rRNA from 1 species
CCUACGGGAGGCUGCAGUGGGGAAUAUUGCACAAUGGGGGAAACCCUGAUGCAGCGACGCCGCGUGAGUGAAGAAGUAAUUCGUUAUGUAAAGCUCUAUCAGCAGGGAAGAAAAUGACGGUACCUGAGUAAGAAGCCCCGGCUAACUACGUGCCAGCAGCCGCGGUAAUACGUAGGGGGCAAGCGCUAUCCGGAUUCACUGGGUGUAAAGGGAGCGUAGACGGCAGUGCAAGUCUGGAGUGAAAGGCGGGGGCUCAACCCCCGGACUGCUCAGGAAACUGUACGGCUGGAGUGCAGGAGAGGUAAGUGGAAUUCCUGGUGUAGCAGUGAAAUGCGUAGAUAUUAGGAGGAACACCAGUGGCGAAGGCGGCUUACUGGACUGUAACUGACGUUGAGGCUCGAAGGCGUGGGGAGCGAACGGGAUUAGAUACCCGAGUAGUC